AUUGAACGCUGGCGGCAGGCCUAACACAUGCAAGUCGAGCGCGCGGCGGACGGGUGAGUAAUUUCUGGGAAACUGCCUGAUGGAGGGGGAUAACUACUGGAAACGGGAGCUAAUACCGCAUACCAUCAGAUGUGCCCAGAUUGGAUUAGCUAGUCGGUGGGGUAACGGCUCACCUCGGCGACGAUCCCUAGCUGGUCUGAGAGGAUGACCAGCCAAACUGGAACUGAGACACGGUCCAGACGCCUACGGGAGGCAGCAGGGGGGAAUAUUGCACAAUGGGCGCAAGCCUGAUGCAGCCAUGCCGCGUGUGUGAAGAAGGCCUUCGGGUUGUAAAGCACUUUCAGCGGGGAGGCGUUACCCGCAGAAGAAGCACCGGCUAACUCCGUGCCAGCAGCCGCGGUAAUUC
rnacentral:rRNA from 1 species